AUUCCGAACCACUAAAAUACUAAAAAAUACUAUAAUGCUUUCUUCUAGUAACAAUAUUUCUUCAUCAACUGAUAACCACAAUAUGCAACCCUACACUCUCAAAAGACCGCUCAAAACUGAAUAAAUUCUAUCCAACACCAAGAAUAACAAACUUCGUAUCAACCAAUCUGAAUUCACAGAAUUCCUGUAAUCACAAACUUCUUCUGUCGAAACACACACACACAACUCUCAAUAAACAACAAUCAUAAUCUUCCAUCCAUAAUCAAUCUUCCAAUAACUUCUCAUAUAAUUCAAUCACUCAGUACUCCAAUUACAUAAUC
rnacentral:lncRNA from 1 species